UUUAAACACUAUUAGGGAGGACGAAGAUUGACAGAAGAUUUUGUGUUUUAAACAGAUUUAUUUUUAUACUUAUUUUAGGUCCGACUGUAUUCGCGCUAUGCGGGCUUGAGAGAAGACAAGCCAGUUUCUCUUUUAGUACUAAACGUCGAGUAAGGGAGCCACUGAUAGCAUUGUUCAUAUCUUCAAUAUACAGAGGUCAUGGUGCGAAUCCACCGCCUCCCGCACUCGGAGCGCGCACUCUACAACCACAGGCUACCAAGGCGGCUAGGAUGGCACAUCUACCAUACCAUCUUUAAAUCUUCAUUUGGUAAUUCGGGUGCUUGCCUAUACUUGAAGGUUGUUUCUAACUUGCUGUGUCAUUCAAUGAUCUUAGUGGGACAUGAUGAAACGAAACGUGUUGUCUUUCACAUGAUGUUUUAUAUCACUAGUCAAUAGCGAGCUUAUGAAGGAAUCACGUGCUCAAAGUCUGUUAUUCCUGAAGUCAGAUGACACAUGUAUCCAGCAAAAAGCAUUACAAUUAUAAUAAUAAUGUGAAAAGUCACAUGUAUUUGUCCAUGACUGGAGGGGGAAAACGAGAUUAGGUGUGAACAUGCGAAUAUGGUGCUAAAAUGUAAAUGAUAACGGUGUCGGCUACAAACGACAUUUCUGACACGUAACGUUUUAAGGUGUCCACAGAUGGUAGGUUCUAGUUGUGCAACACCGAUUAUCUUAAAGAUGUAAAAUUUUAAAAUUGUACAAUUUUCACAUAUAACUUUUACGUAGCUCGUGAUGACGUCAAAAUUAUGAUGAUCUAAUGGACAACCUUUUCUCUUCAAAUAAAACAUUUUCUAUGAAAUAAAUAGGAAAAACUUCAGAAACAACAGCAAAAAUAAUACUUUAUUAUCUUAUUCUAGUUUCUGAUUAAUUUCAACUGUCUUUACGACUUAUGUAAUCAGUAUUGAAUUUUAUCUCUCCUUUUUAUUGCUUAUAUUAUGCUUAUAAGCCUCACAUAUUGCAGAGAAAAAUGUGUUUCAUGCGUACAGAUAUUAAACGAGCAAUUACAUUGUUAGAGCAAAGAUACAGAGUGCAUUUUCAUGAUACUUGUGGCUCCAUCGAUCGCCUAGUACAACAUGAAACGAAAUUCCCCGGUUUCCCUGACGAUUCUGUGAAGUUAGAUCUUUCGUGCCAUGUUUGUUCCACAAUACUAACUAUGUCAAAGGAAUAAAAACGUCUCAUUAACUUCUACGUACUGGAAACUGGAAGAGUAAUUGGGACAAAACCCUCUCCGACUGCUGCGUAAUUUGACUAACGAAAUUUUUACGACGUCGAUUUUUCCCCGGAAUUUUCUGACCAUCGACAAGUUCCGGUUUCUAAAAAAGACUUAUGAGAAAUUAAAAGUAGCUAAACUUUGUGGUUGUUUUUUUUAUACUUACUAAACUGUUGUACAUGUUAUCUCUCUUUUUUUUUUUAGAUUCAGGUAUGUUCUUUUCUGCUUUGGUACCAAAAAGCGUUAAUUUUUCCUUUGUUUAGAUGCUGAAGAAAAUUUUCAGUGCAUGGACAAUAGAAUAAUUCGUUUAUUGUAUUCACAUUGCUUGAUAUUUUAGAUAGUGAAUAUUCCAGCUAAUAGGGUUGGUUGAACACAAAAUAAUACUCUCAUCAAAUGUCUGCGUGAUGUCCUUAUUCAACCCCAAGGACUAGAAGGAGUGUGCCGAGAAUUCCGAGUUCAACAUAACCUACAUCUCCACAGACUUCAUUACAUUAGUUCCAUGUAAUAAAUGAUCGAAACACACAAGUAAUGAAAGAUCGGAACAAAUAAAAAAAACAUGUUGCUCCCAGUACAUAAUUGAUUUCUCCAUCAUGAAUUCCAGUUAAUCUACGCAGGCAUGCACUACUUUCUUGCGGAUCGCAUUCAACUAAAACGCUAAUACUUGUCUAGCCUGUUACAAGCAUAUGCGGUAAUAAAAAUACUAUAAAAUUCUAUUUUCAUCAUUUCAUUAGAUAAAUAACCUCCAGCAUACUGCUACAUCUUCACACACGAAGAUGAAUUCAUGCAUACUUUUUUUGGCUAAAUUGAAUGACUAGUUGAUAUGUGCCAGUAAGUUUGCUUGUCUAAAUGGAACUACGUGCAGUUGAUAUGUCUUUAUAAGUUUGUUUGUUUAGAUGGAACUGCAUCCAUAGAACUGCAUGUUGUUGUGAUAUAUUGACGACGUCUUUAAAAAAGGGGUAUUGAACUCGGACCAUUCAGUACAAAUCGAAUAUUGUCUUGUGUACACACGGGUACGGUCUGGUCGUUUAACAGUUUUAUCUGUCUUGUGUCUACUUAUCUGCAAUUUGCAUGUGCUACUUUACUUACAUUAUGUAACAGUUGUAUAUAGUAGUCAUGUGCCGAUAUGCUCUUAUGUCUUUGUGUAUUAUAGCAUUCAUGUUCCGACAUGGUCUCACAACGUAUGUGUAUAUAGCAGUCAUGUUCCAACAUGGUCUUACAACGUAUGCGUAUGUAACAGUCAUGUUCCGACAUGGUCUCACAACGUAUGUAUAUAUAGCAGAGAAUAUGGAGAUUUUUGGAACUUCGUCAAAUCGUUCCAAAGGUCCUUAUUGAUGUUGUCUAAAAGUGUCAGUAUAUGCCUUGGAUGUUAGAUAUUUCCAUAUUUGAGAGCUGCAGACCUAGACAUUUCAGAAAUAGUUUCAAAAUGAAUUUCGUGUAAUGAAUGUUGAUUCUACGGAAGCGUGAAAGGGCCAUCAGACGCUAAUACGUUUUAUUACGUUACAAGUGAUAUGACUUGUAUACAAUCAUCAAGUGCAAUCAGUAUGUUCUAGUUUAACCUGACAGAUUCGCACUGUGAGUAGUAAACUAUUGUCUGACUGUUUUUCGAAUCAGGUUUACUUAGUCUAAAAAGCCGUUCGGUACUUAUGGGAUAUAGAUUGAUGUUAAAAGAUAUCAGCGUGCAUGCGAAAUGCACUAAGAAUAACAGAAAAUGUUACCACUGUGUGCGACUAGUACCAACUCAG